GUCAGCUAGUUAGGAAGGGUUAAAGGAAAGGAACUAGUAAGACAAGAUGUAACAGCCCAGCCCAAUUAAAAAAAAAAAUGCAUGGUCAGAUAUUUUUGGGUGUCCCACGUGCCCCACCUAACCCAAUCACUACCCACCACAUCUCUCACACUCCCUCACUCUUUUGGGGUUGGCCGGUCAUCUCUAUUCCCUUCAUUUGCUUUCUUUUCUUUUCUUUUCACUUAAGCACACACACACUCAUCUCCCUCACUCUCCCACCAGAUUCCACUCCAAACCACCAUCUCCACCAUCGUUUUUUGGCAAGAUCACCGGAAAAAUCCUUGUGAAUCUCUAAGCACCUUCACAUCUUUUUUUGGAGGUAAAUCCUUGAGUGUGUGGGUGAGGCCGCUACCUAUAGGGCCAAAAGACCACAUGCAAGAGGGGUACUAUGCGACACGUCAUUCCCUACUGCCAUGAGGAGGAGGGGAGGAGAGGAAGAGGUAAAUCCUUGAGUGUGUGGGUGAGGCUAGGCAGGGCUAAGAGACCACAUGCAAAAGAGGUACUAUAUGAUGUGUUAUCCUCUGUUGCCCAUGGAGGGGAUAGGUAAAUCUUUGAGAGUGUGGGUGAGGCUUGGUAGGGUCAAUAGAUCACAUGCCAAAAGAGGUACAUAUCAUACUAGUGUGUUUGGGCUCUAACUUGUUUAUGGCGGUAUGAUGUCUGAGUGAUAUCUCUAUCCUUGUUGGUCCUUGUUGCAUCUUUGGUGAUGUUUUUUAGUUUUGAAAUGGUAUUGGACAUUUUUAUGGCUCAUAGUGAAUGGAAUGUAGUUUCAUAGUUAUUUUUGGAA